CUCAAGUUCCUCUGCAUU
rnacentral:sRNA from 1 species